AGGGACGGAGACAAGGGGGGACGAGGGGGGGCUAGACCCCCCCCAACGAAGUUGUUCUCCUCAAUAGCGAUUAGUUAGAUCCGUUUAUUAGCAGGCCUUUUGACUUGAUUCGCCCCCCCUGUCCACUUGUCUCGUGUAACACCGUGAAACCCCUCGGGCAGCCCAUGUACAAGAAACAACAGAUCACAACCCAGCAAAAAAAAGGCCCACCAUCGAGGUCAAAGAAAACAGAGCCCACCGGUCAAGGGCUUGCGACCAGGAGCACCAACGCAGUCUGCUACAAUCCUGGCGAUCGACACGAUUUUAUAUCGCUCCAACAGAACGCACGCAGAUUGCGGCUCGUGCGAUCUUUCCAUCUGUCGUCGCCUCCAAUCUCCGCCUACCCGCAAGAUUAGCUUCAGUCUCCAAGCGAAGAUCAUAGGGGGGUUGAUCGAGAUCCGCCACGGCUGAUUACCUGCACGAUACGAAGAGGAAGAGAAGAAUGGAAAACGUUUCCUAGGGCACUUGCUUCCAACCGUUCAAGCCUAGCAAUCCCAAUUGAUCAUUUCCUCAGCAACCAUAAAGGAGAUUAGGAGAAACACCACCACCAUGAGCGACCACGGAGGAGAUGAUGCACGGAAUCUGACAUCCUCUUUGCGUGUAUGGCUUAGGUUUUUGCAAGGAAUUUUUUUUAUGGUUAACCGAUGCCCAACUGCCUAUAAGAGCUCAAGUCUGCAACUCGCCCCCCCUAUACAAAAUUCCUGGCUCCGUCCCUGGCUGG